UGUGCCCUCAUCCAGCACACGGAUGACUUAACCCUUCCUGUGUGGAGACAUUUCCCUUCACCAUUUUUAUGCCUGUGUUUGCCCAAGAUUUACCGCAUGCUUAUUCCUUCCAAGCUUUACUUCCUGAUAUGUAAACAUCUAGUUUGGGGAAGUCUGAGAAAAAUCCUUUUCUCUUUUUGGAAAUCUACCUCUCAAGACUAUCCAGUGUGGGCUUUAAAGUCUAGAUUGAAACUCGGAACCGAGCUGUGAAACUGCCUUCCCUUUUCUUUUUUCCAGAAAUUCGCUGCAUUCCUCAGUGCUCAUCAUGUUGACUUCUGUUCAUCUGUUACAUCUCAGAUCAUGUGUCACUUUUUCAACUAAGCUUUCCUUGACCUCCAAGAUCAAGUGAUGCAAUCCAUUCUCAUUCCACCUGACCUCAUUUCACCGUUCCCUUCCUGGUAUUCAAUUCCCAGCAGAGGACCUCUUUCUGCACUGAUGCAUGGUUUGAAGAAUCAUGGUGGGAAAUCCUUCAGCCUGAAGAAAGGCAGAAGAAGUUUGAGCAACACCCACCCAGAAGGCUUUUCUCCCCACCUUGGGAUGUCAGCAGGUUGGAAGGAAACCAAGGAUAUUAUUAGCCUCCAAAGUUAAGUGGAGGGUUAUCUGAUCCUCGAAGCCAGUGGUCUUUAACCUGAAGCAUCUAUACCUCUGAGGAUUUAUAAAUAUUUUCCCAAAAGAUACAUAAACUAAUUUGGUUUUGGAUCAUCAAUUACCAUAUGAAUUCUUCUAAUAUUUUUUUAACUGAGAAGUCUCCUGGAAUUUCUCCUUUUUAUGUCAUAGUCUCCUGUUUCCCAUGAAAAGUGAAAAAAAAAAAAUCUUUUGCCCAUUGAGAAUCUUAUUAUGGUGUAUUGCACUCACAUGAAAAACUUCCAGGGCACCAAAUAAAAGGAUGAUCAAAACAUUAAAAAUAUUUUAUUAUGCUA